rnacentral:misc_RNA from 1 species
AUAUAGAAUUCCGUCAAUCAAUAUCAAAAUUUCAUUAAUAGUCAACUCAUCUUGAGUUUUUUCGUUUUCUUAUACAAUUUAUUGGAAAGUAAAUAGUUAUGAUAAAAAUGUUGAUGCUAUUAUGCUGGCAUUGUAAUCUUGAGUAGGGCAGAGUGAGAGAGAGCAAACUUGCGACUUGAUGGUGAAGUGAAGUAGCGGCAGCAAUUCUUGUUUGUUGUAGGCGUAAACGUAAACUUUGUUUGUUUUUCUCAAUUAAGCGUAUACUUUUUCAAAUUAACAUGUUGUGUGUCUAUUUUCCUGGAUGCAGUUUAUGCUAGUGUGACAUUUAUUCGUAGUAAUUUUAUCCAACUUAGCUUUGAUUAUUAAAAAUGUUGGUUACUGAAAAGGGCGAUGAACUCUUUUCCAGUUUAGUAAGUUUUCAAUCAUCUGGAUUAGAAAGCAAUGGACAUUACAAUUUUGGAAAUGGAUCAAAUGGUUCUUUGAAUCAAUUCAGUGUUGAUAUGGAUUGUGACAUUCCCACUUCAGAAGACUUCCUCCAUGAACUUUCAAAUGAUCUUCAGAUUCCAAUGUUAUUGGAGGAGAGUAAUUUCAAGGAAGAAUGUGAAAUUUCUGACUCUUCAUCCCUUCUACACAAGUUGAACGAUUGGGGAAACGAUUCUCUGGAACUUCAAUUUUUCAAAGAUGAAAUCAAGGAGGAACCGAAGUCUCCAAAUUCAACUUCAAGCAUCGAUUCCUGGCAAGCUAUAGAAAACGAUGCAAAGGUUACUUUGGAGACUCCGCCGAUUUCUCCUCCUGAAACCACUAACGGCAGUCCACCCAGAUCUCCCACGACCGAAACAGUGCACCAGAAAUUCGCCAUCAAUGAAAAGCCAGUGAUUUUGUGCAACGGAAGCAACGGCGCCAUUAGGAUACUGCCCUACAACAAUCGAAAUAACUGCAAAAAGAAUUUUGUUACCAGUAACGUUUCAGAUGUGAAUGUGAAUGGCAAAAAGAGCCAAGGUAAGGUGGUUGUGGCAGCACCUGGCACAAAAAUCAUCAAUCUACAACGACAGGUCAUCGGCUCAAAUGUCACACCACCCACUAUAACUGUACCAAAUGAUUUAUCAAAUACGAGAAGAGUACUGGUGUCAACCAAGGACAUUUCUCUACUAACGCAACAAAACAAUCGUAUAAAUAGUCUUAGUAAUAUAAACUGUAUCAGUGGUAGCACUGCGAAUACAGUUAUCCCUGUUAUUACGAAUCCUAAUGUGCCUGCUGUCAAAAUUGAGCAAACAACUUCCAAACUUGUUCCAGCUUCGGUCAAGCGGGAAAUGCAGUUGAGAGUACUCAAGCGUCAACAGAGGAUGAUUAAAAAUCGAGAAUCUGCCUGUCUUUCGAGGAAAAAGAAGAAAGAAUAUGUUUCUUCGUUAGAAACUAGAAUAAGUGAUUUGGAGAAAGAAAACUUGGAACUUCGAAAGGAGAAUGCAUCGUUGAAAGAAAGGCUGUGCGAAUUGGAAGGCGGCGUAUCCACCAAACCAAAAUCUACCUUUCAACCAAACCUGAAGAAAACUUCAGUGAUUUUGGCUGUUCUGUUGGUCGUCUCUGUCAAUCUUGGAUCAAUAAGUUUGAUGAAGAGACCAGCUGCGGAAUUGUCGUUGCACGAGAUGUCGGGUGGUGGCAACAGCGGUGGCCUAAGACACACCAGUCGCACGCUGCUCUGGCAGAAUGACGACAUCGGCGACUCUGCCUCUGCCAUUGGGGCCAACGCCACCUACAGCUCGCCCCUCACCUGUCCGCUGCACAUCAAUCAGACUGAGUCACUCAGGCUAAACUCAGAGUUGAGAAGGUGGAUUGGCGUGGAAGAAGACGGCUUCGCAUCGAAUGAGGAGGAAAAAGCUAGUUCACUAGAAAUGAACAAAAUGGAGCAGAAGUUGAAAGAGCUGAUGCUGCCUCCCUCCCCAAAUCUAUUCACUUCUCAUCCUCAGCCGCCUUCUAAUAAAUCCAAUCUGCCUUCUCCUAAAAAGAAAGUCAGGAAGCAGAAGAAAGUGCUGGGACAGGAGCUGCAGGUGCUGAGCGGUGGCGGGGGCAUGCCGGCCUCCUAGAGGCGAUCCGCCGCCGAGACGACACCUUCUACGUGGUCUCCUUCUCCAGCGAUCACCUGCUGCUGCCAGCCAUCGCGCACAACAACACCCUCAGGCCCAAGAUGUCGCUCAUUCUGCCCGCCAUUCCUUUCAAUGUUUCAGUGAACUCAGAAGAGCCGCUGAUGAUGAUGCAGAUCGACUGCGAGGUGCUGGACACGCGGCUGGUGGAAGUCAAGGAGCAGGACAUUCCGCACCACAUGCGCACCACGAGGCACCCCUCUCCCACCCCGCCCAAUGUGUCUGACAGUGUGGCAGUACAUCAGCAAGCGUACAGGCCUUACUUUAUGAGAGCGUCUUCAGAUGCCUCCCAGACUAGACCCUUCAAUUCGAAUGAAAACUAUCCUCCUGUAUACAAAACUAGAACAAGACUGCGGGAUUUUCCUUGAUUAGACAUACUUUUUAGAUGAAUUUACGAUUAUUGUGAGUGAAUCUAUUAAAAAACAGAUUCAUUCAAAUUAAUCACUAUUUUCAUAGCCACCUCUAAUACAAGGCCGCGGCCUACGAUAUUGCAACGUCGCAGUGUAGGCCUAGAAUCUAAUACAUGAUUGGUGAAAUAGAUCAGCUGGUAUUUUUUAAAAUCUUUGUCACCAAUCAUGUAUUAGACUCUAGGCCUACUAACACUGCGACGUUGCAAUAUCGUAGGCCGCAGCCUUAAAUUAGAGAGGUGGCUAUGUUAUUAUAUAACUGAUUGAUUAGUAUAUGUGAGUUUGAAAUAAAGUGACAUUUUGCGAUACAGUAUAACUUAGAUGUUGCUCAUAUUAGUUGUGCUUUAAAUGUUUUUAUAAUGAACAAUUGAUACGACAGAAUGCUAUGCUUAACCAUAAAGUAGAUUUUGUAGAUUUGAGCAAUUGCAGAUUUUUAUAUAGUUUUCUUAUUUAUUGAUUUUUACUGAAGAUAGUUUGAUACAAUGUUGAACUACUUAAUUAUAGAAACUUACCUGAUUAUUUGCAAUGUAAUGCUUGCAAAUACAAGUAACUAUGAUGUUUUAUAUGGAUAUAAUUAAUGCAAAAUUCUAGGUUAAUCAAAGCAAAUUAUGUUUGAUAUUAAUUUUAGAACUAGAUUUAGGAUGAGAAUUAAACUUUGUAUGAUUUUGUUUUAAAGUGCACAUUAUUUGUACAAAGUAAUAUAAGUUUUGGAUAUUUAUAAAUGCAAGCCGAAGCUGAUAGAGAGUGAUAAUUUUAAUCAAAACUCAAACUUUUUUCUUGGACGCUAAACAAGCAAGUUUUUUACCAAUUGGUAUUCAGGCUCAUAGAGCUAAUAUUGAUUAUGAGCCACCAAAAAUUGCAAAAUAAAAAAUGUUCUCAAUUUUUCCGCAUUUACAUCAACAAGUUCUAAGCUGAUACAACUUAUAAUUAUUAUUCAAGUAUUUUACCUAUAAAGCAUCAACUUCCUCAAACAUACUUUUUGCAAUUUCCCCAAUUUUCAGUGAUAAAUUUAUUAUUUUGUAUAAUAUUGAAGAAAUAAAAUUUCUAGCUUACAAUCUUCGAAAAGCACACCUUGAUGGCUAAAUCAUCAGGUGCCUAAGAGGUUAUACAUAAUUAUCGAUAUCCAAAUUUCUUGGUAAUGGUCUGUUACGCUGUUCUAUUUACUAUCAGUGUGCUACACUCAUAUCAUAUCUUGACUUGUGUGGGUUUAUUAUAUUUUAAGUAAUAUAAUUUAAAAAUUCAUUUUUAUGAAUCAUUGCAAUUAAAUCAUAGUAAAUGUACACCACAUAGUGAAUCAACUAACCAUCACAUUAAACGACGAAUACAAUUAUUUUUCAAAGUAAUUGAUAUGCUUGUGAUCAGUUUUAAUUACCGUUAUACCGUACUGAAUGAAUUUUAAAUAUGAAUAUCACCCUAAUAAUGAUCAUAAACUACUAAUAAAUUAUUGAUUAUACUCUAGUAAUUAUACUGACAAGGUAAUACAUAAAUAUAAAUCACAUUAGAUUUGUCAAUCUCAUUAUUGUUUUGGUUCAUAUAGUUCAUUAUUUUUCUAAAAUAAGUCUUAACAUAUUUUGGAAAUUUUCAUUAUUUUUCAAACCUUUUAAAUUUAAAUAGAUGCAGUAAUUUUAAUUUGAUAACUAUCCUUUCUAAAUUUAGCUUGGAUCAUGCGUGAUUUCAAGUUGAAUAGGUUUUUUUAACUGAGUUUUAUUUCACAAAAAUUCACUAGCCCAUGGCUGACUAAUAGAUAGUCAAUGUUGAUAUAUAUCAACACUAUUGAUUGACCAUGACUGGCAACUUCAUAAAUUUCUUUGAAAAACUUGGGUAGAAUAUAAUUUAUAACAUAAAAAAGCACAAUUCUGACACAGUUUAUUCCUAAUUUAAUUUAAUAUUUAUGUAAUAGUAAUUAGUAAAACUCUUUUCUGAAGUACCGUAUUCAAAAAUUCAAUUAAUUAUGUAAGUUAUAAGAAAUGAAUACUUUGUUCUGAAAUUGUUUUUUCAUAGGUGAUGAAUUCUAUUUUAUGCAUUUGAUUGGUCUCUUAGGUUUAAUAACGAUUUGUAUAUUUAUGCUAUAGAUAAUAUUAUAUACGUACAGUUUAACAAUUAUAUAAAAAUACUAAAUCAAUUCCUAUUGGUAUUUAGUCAAUCGUUUAGAAAAUUUAUGUUGAUUGUUACAUUACAUUACAAAUUAAUUUAUCGUUAAUUUAUUGUUGAAAUAAGUGAGAGUAAAAUUUAAUAUAUUGAUAAAUUUAUAACUUAUAAAGUAGUAUUGUUUGUUGUUCCUAGAAAUUAAGACUAUUACACAGAAGUUGUGAUUCAAUGUGUAUAUUCUUGAUUUGUGCAGUGUUUGUGAAGCAAUAAAAUGCUAUCAAAUAUACAGAUAUGUCAACUCAA